ACGAGUGGCGCAGGUGUUAUUCCUCAUGACUGGGCGUAAAGGGUGUGUAGGCGGUAGCAGCAAUUGCAGUUCAAAUAGCACUGUUUGCGGUGUGUAGUUCAGUAAGAUUCUGCUACUGGAGUCUAUUAGGAGAUGACGGAACUCUCAGCAUUAGAUUUAAAAUGCGUUUGAAACUGAGAGGAACACCAAUGGCGAAAGCAGUCAUCUAUAAUAGUCUGACGCUGAGACACGAAGGCAGGGGGAGCAAAUAGGA
rnacentral:rRNA from 1 species